rnacentral:rRNA from 1 species
AGUGAACGCUGGCGGCAGGCCUAACACAUGCAAGUCGAGCGGCAGCGCGUCCGACCACCCUCGGGUGGUCGGAUGGUGGCGAGCGGCGGACGGGUGAGGAAUGCAUCGGAAUCUGCCUCGUUGUGGGGGAUAACGUAGGGAAACUUACGCUAAUACCGCAUACGACCUACGGGUGAAAGUGGGGGACCUUCGGGCCUCACGCGAUGAGAUGAGCCGAUGCCGGAUUAGCUAGUUGGCGGGGUAAAGGCCCACCAAGGCGACGAUCCGUAGCUGGUCUGAGAGGAUGAUCAGCCACACUGGAACUGAGACACGGUCCAGACUCCUACGGGAGGCAGCAGUGGGGAAUAUUGGACAAUGGGGGCAACCCUGAUCCAGCCAUGCCGCGUGUGUGAAGAAGGCCUCGGUUGUAAGUACGACUUUGUUGGGU